AUUGAACGCUGGCGGCAGGCCUAACACAUGCACGUCGAGCGAGUGGCGGACGGGUGAGUAAUGUCUGGGAAACUGCCUGAUGGAGGGGGAUAACUACUGGAAACGGUAGCUAAUACCGCAUACAAUCAGAUGUGCCCAGAUGGGAUUAGCUAGUAAGUGGGGCAAGGGCUCACCUAGGCGACGAUCCCUAACUGGUCUGAGAGGAUGACCAGCCACACUGGAACAGAGACACGGUCCAGUGUCCUACGGUGGGCAGCAGUGGGGAAUAUUGCACAAUGGGCACAAACCUGAUGCAGCCAUGCCGCGUGUAUGAAGAAGGCCUUCGGGUUGUAAAGUACUUUAGGCGGGGAGGCGUUACCCGCAGGAUGAACACCGGCUAACUACGUGCCAGCGGCCGCGGUAAUUC
rnacentral:rRNA from 1 species